GCCCCCGUAGCGCAAUGGUAGCGCGUAAGACUGUACGUUUACAUCACCAUCUUCAUCUGUUGGCCCAACUAAUAAAUCAACAGUCUAGGUUCCAAGCCAUCUUAAGGUUGCGAGUUCGAGCCUCGCCGGGGGCU
rnacentral:tRNA from 1 species